GUCAAAAGAGAGGAGAGCCGGUGGUUAGUGGGGUGAGCAGCCGUGGGGGAAGGAGGGGCGGGGGCUGUGGGGUUCAGGCCCAGGCACGGGGACUGGCCAGCGGGGUCAGACGGGCCCUCGCAGCAGCCCUGCCUGGGCCUACUCCCGGGCUGGGUGUGACACGGUCCAGUCUGGCCCAGCCCCCUGUGCGGCUGUCCACGCAGGGCUGGGCAUGCUGGGAGAGCUGACCCCUGGACUCAGAGAUCGUGGGGCCAAGCCUCCCGGUCUCUCUGAACCUCUUUCCUCAUGUGUCAUGUGGGGACACAUGAUCAGUACUGCCCUUUCAUGGGGUGGCUGUGAGGAGCCAAGGUCUGUCUUAGUUGCUUUGUCCACAGGGCCCAGCAUGGCACUCAAGCUGCCCUUGGCACCAACCCUGAGAUGACGGACUUUGCUCCCGCGUGGCUGAACUGAGCAGGGGGCUUUCUGUCCUCUCAGCCUGUAGGACAGAGAGGAAAUGGAAUUCCAAUUUGCAGCAGCGCCGAGACAGCAGGAUCGAGGGGAGAAAGGACAUUGCUAGAGCCAAGAGUGGCCAUUCCGGGGGACCCACGGAGCACCUGGGGCAGGUCUUUGAGCUUUAGUAUCAAGGCCACACAGACACCAAGUGUCAGAGCCACACAGGCCCUCAGGCCCACGGCUGCAGCCCUCUCCACCGACGACUGUGCGAGCUGAGAGCUGAAGAGGGGGCGAGCAGCUGGCUGUCCGGGACAGAAGUCUCUGGGCUCUGAGGCCUGAGAGGAUGUGCCCCAGCCUCCCUCCUGGACGACACCUGGAGCCUCUCACGCUGGGGACGCAGAGACCUUUGUGAUCCAGCACGAUGCUCGCAUCUCGUUCCACAGCCCUUCUGCGUGUCCCUUCUCCGUUGUUUGAGGUUUUGAGUCUCUUCUAUCAGAAUGUCCUCAGAUGGCCUUUCCCUCACCAUGUUCCAGAGCCUUUUAGGAUUCAGAUCCUGCUCCUGGGGUGGAGUCCCCACCUGGCGGAGCUCCUGCACCCAGGGCUCUUGCCGCCCUGGCGCCUCGCCACCCGCCCAGCCCAGUGACUCCCAGGCAUGCUGGAGAGCACCCGGCCUUGGGGUCAAGUAAUGGGGGAGAAGUGCUUUUGGAAAACAUAACACGCCUGAAGAAAUGAAAGCUCUGUUCCCAAGACUCCUUCCCAGCCGGGUCUCCCCUCUGCGCCCUCUCAGCCCCGGUGGGGGUGGACUGACCGGCGGAAGAGCCACUGCCACCUCGUGCCUGGAGCCCCUGGCAGAGUGGGCGCUGAGGAGACACGCGGUGAUCGUGGACUGGUUGGCGUGAGGACUGCAUGUUUUUGCCUCCCUCCCAGGGGGACAUGGGAGCCCUUUCCCGAGCCGUGCCCCGCUGACCGUCGGGAGGUUCUGACGCGGUUGGUCACCAUCCGGCACAUUCUCGGCAGCCACCACCUGCCACGCUGGAGGUGGAGCUGGUCUUACGGCCCCCACUCAGUGUGACUGUCCUGCAGAACCGCCUGCAGCUGGGAAUGCAGAGGACGUGCCUCCGGCCAUGCAGCGAGAAAGCAGUGCGGCCAGCAACGUGGCUACCUGCAGCCGCCCAGCCUGCCCAGGCAGGGUCCGGCGCUCCGAGCCGGGUCCCGGAACGCUCUGCAUAUUUCCAUUUGCGGCCCUUGGGGCGUCGUUUGCCUCCUUCUGAAGGACUGAAGGACUGACGGCUGUAGGCGCCUCACGGCCCUGGACCAGCCCACGUCCACGUCCCACGUCCACGUCUCAUGUCUGCGUCUCACAUCCAUGUCCGUGUUCCAUGCCUACAUCCCACAUCCAUGUCUCACAUCCGUGUUCCACGUCCCACAUCUGCGUCCCACGCCUCCCCCGGCUGAUGCCCCUUUCCUCCCCCAGUGACCCUGAGCGCCGGCUCCUCGACGCCCCUGCUGAGAGCCCUGCCAACUGCCUGGGAUGCCAGAGACCACGGUCCAGCCCCACGUGCACCAGCUGCCCUCACGCCCUCCUGUGUUCCCGUGCUCCCGUAGGCACUGUCUUUUCACCCAGAACGGUCCCGCCACGGCUGACGCGCCCCCGUGUGUCGAGGGCAGACCUAGCAGUCGCAUCUGCACCUGGACUCUGCCAGCACCUCCUGCUUCUGAGGGACCUGCCCACCCUGGUUACACGCACUUCCUGGUCCCCUUGACCUUGGACACACUUGGCCUGUUGGGAGCCCUGCUGAGACAGUCUGCGGUCUCUGUGUGGUUGGCUAGCAUGGGUUGGAAUGGUAAAGGUCAUCUGCCUUGACGUGGAAACUUCUGGAAGCCCAGAACCAGGCAGGUAUAGUUUCCUGUGAUGUGGAAUACCUACUAUGCGCUAAGCUUCACACCAGUUGCUGUAAGAGCACCCCCUCAUGAAUGCUCUUGUGCGUCCAGGGAGGCCAGGACCGUAAGCCCAGGCUCCGGGGGAGGAAACACACUCAGGACCACAACUCCAAGGGGUGUAAGUGAGAGUCACCCUCUCAGCACGUGGGUGAAGCUCAUGUUCUUUCCACUCACGCUGUCUACCCUCCGCAGGGCGAGAGAGCCACCCCAACAGACUCGGCAUCACCAGUGACGGCAGAGGCAGGGACCGUCCCCAGGGGCUCUUUCCCAUGAGCAUUCUCACACGGUGUGUUCCCCCGGCUUAAAGCCACACACACUCCUUCUUCUUCACCUCACAUCCCCCUCCGCUCACCUCUCUGCCUGAGGGGAGCCCGACCCCUGGGGAGCCCUGUCUGUGCCCGCCGGCACCUCCUACCCCUCCUCACUCCAGCUGCUCCAGCCCGCCUUCAGUCCACGCCCUCCCGCACAUUGCCCGCUGACGUUCUCACUAACCUCCAUGCUGCCAGACCCCAAAGUGGGAUCUCAGUCCCUCCCUGGCUCAAACCCUCGGCAGCAUUCGACAGCACUGCUCACUCUCUCUUGCACCCCUCUUGUCACUUCCAGGACUUCCGUCCCUCUUGGGUCCCCUGCUCAUGACUCUGUCGGCUCCAUGUCCUCUGGCCCCUGACGCCUCCAGCCAGGCUGUCCUCUGGUCCUCCUCUGUCCACACUGACCUCAGUCUCCUGGCUUUGAACGCCAUCCAGGUGGUGAUGGUGACUCCCGGGGUCAUGCGACCUCCACCACUCCCUCAGCUCCUGCCUUAUCUGCGUCUGACUCUCUCUUUGGUAUUUCCACUUGGAUACAUAAUGGGCUCCUGAAACUUCAGUGUAACAUGGGCAAAACCAAACUCCUGGUUUCCGCAUCACCACUGCUUGCAGCUGGAGUCGAUGCUCCUUUUCGCACGCCAUCCAAUCCGCCAGCCACUCCUGCCGGCUCUCCAGGAGCAGACCCGGCACCUGCGCUUUCUCACUGCCUGCAGCGCUGACCCGGGUCCGGCCACCUUCGUCUCUCUCCAGCGUCACUGCAGCUGUGCCCCGUCUCCAUCCUCGCCCCCACGGCCCUUCCUCCACGGAGGCCUUUCAGACGUAAGCCAGAUGCCGUCACCUCUGUGCUGGAGACCCUUCAAGGGCUCCCGUCUCAGAGUCGGAGCCCAAGCACUCAUGGUGGCCAACGAGGUGGCUCACAGCUACCCGCUCCUCACCCACUCCGUGCUGCCUCCUGGUUGUUCCCCCUUCCUCAGGGCCUCACGUGCUUUGUUUUCUGUACCAGAGGAUUACACAGACACAGACACUGCACACUUCUGCGCUAACACACAGGCUCUGGAGGGCGGGGGCUUGUUUACUGCCACACCUGCAGUGCUGGCCCUGAGCGGGUGCCCGACAAACCCCAGCCGACUGCACAGAGCACGGAGGUUGGGCCCCCAGACUCACUGCCCCGCAGCAUCUCAGCCCGGGCGAGGAGAGGGGCUUGUGGCUGGAGCAGCAGAACCUCCAGUUUCACUCUUUCGCUGUCUCCUGGAGGUGUGUGCUGCCCUGCACACGGAGGCCCCAAGGAACGGGGCCCACGGCCAGGCAGCAGACAGGACGCAUGUGGCUGACACGGGGCCGAUGCCACAGCACUGCUGACCGGCUGCUCCUUGCCAGGGAAGGAUUAGCAGUAAUCCCACCAUUCAUCCAGAGUGUUCCAGGUCACGAAGUGCUGUCAUAUCCGAUAUUGCAUCUGGGCCAUACAACUGCUCACACGCUGGGCGGGGCGAGCACUGUGAUCCCCAUUGCACAGGUGACAGCUGCAAGGCCUCCGGGUUGGGUUCCAGCCUGAG